rnacentral:misc_RNA from 1 species
AACUUUUGGCAACGGAUCUCUUGGCUCUCGCAUCAAUGAAGAACGCAGCGAAAUGCGAGAAGUAAUGUGAAUUGCAGAAUUCAGUGAAUCAUCGAAUCUUUGAACGCACCUUGCGCUCCUUGGUAUUCUGAGGAGCAUGCCUGUUUGAGUGUCAUGAAAUUCUCAACUGCUUUCGCGUUUGCGGGUGAAGUAAAGUUGGAUGUGGAGGGAUAAUUGCUGGCGUAAGCGUUUAAGGGUGCUUGUUAGCUCCUCUUCAAUGGAUGAACUUUCCAGUAGUGUAAAAGUAACACCAAUGUGAUAAUUAUCUACGUUGGAUGAACUUGUACAAGGAAAGAUGAAUCUGUCUUGGACCCCCUUGACGAAACAAAUGACAAAUUUGACCUCAAAUCAGGUAGGACUACCCGCUGAACUUAAGCAUAUCAAUAAGCGGAGGCU